rnacentral:rRNA from 1 species
CAGUCGCCGCGGUAAUACGAAGGGUGCAAGCGUUAAUCGGAAUUACUGGGCGUAAAGCGUGCGUAGGCGGUUUGUUAAGUCUGUUGUGAAAUCCCCGGGCUCAACCUGGGAAUGGCAAUGGAUACUGGCAAGCUAGAGUGUGUCAGAGGAUGGUGGAAUUCCCGGUGUAGCGGUGAAAUGCGUAGAGAUCGGGAGGAACAUCAGUGGCGAAGGCGGCCAUCUGGGACAACACUGACGCUGAGGCACGAAAGCGUGGGGAGCAAACAGAAUUAGAUACCCGAGUAGUCCCUGUCUCUUAUCA